rnacentral:rRNA from 1 species
GGACCGAUGACUGGGGUGAAGUCGUAACAAGGUAGCCGUAUCGGAAGGUGCGGCUGGAUCACCUCCUUUCUAGGGAA